rnacentral:rRNA from 1 species
UACGUAGGGAGCAAGCGUUGUCCGGAUUUAUUGGGCGUAAAGAGCUCGUAGGCUGUUUGGUAAGUCGGAUGUGAAAACUCCGGGCUCAACUCGGAGACGCCAUUCGAUACUGCCAUGACUAGAGUCCGGUAGGGGGGUGUGGAAUUCCCAGUGUAGCGGUGAAAUGCGCAGAUAUUGGGAGGAACACCAAUGGCGAAGGCGGGUCUCUGGGCCGAUACUGACGCUGAGGAGCGAAAGCGUGGGGAGCGAACAGG